AGUUUGAUCAUGGCUCAGAGCGAACGCUGGCGGCAGGCCUAACACAUGCAAGUCGAACGAACCUUUCGGGGUUAGUGGCGGACGGGUGAGUAACACGUGGGAACGUGCCUUUAGGUUCGGAAUAACUCAGGGAAACUUGUGCUAAUACCGAAUGUGCCCUUCGGGGGAAAGAUUUAUCGCCUUUAGAGCGGCCCGCGUCUGAUUAGCUAGUUGGUUGAGGUAAUGGCUCACCAAGGCGACGAUCAGUAGCUGGUCUGAGAGGAUGAUCAGCCACAUUGGGACUGAGACACGGCCCAAACUCCUACGGGAGGCAGCAGUGGGGAAUCUUGCGCAAUGGGCGAAAGCCUGACGCAGCCAUGCCGCGUGAAUGAUGAAGGUCUUAGGAUUGUAAAAUUCUUUCACCGGGGACGAUAAUGACGGUACCCGGAGAAGAAGCCCCGGCUAACUUCGUGCCAGCAGCCGCGGUAAUACGAAGGGGGCUAGCGUUGCUCGGAAUUACUGGGCGUAAAGGGAGCGUAGGCGGACAUUUAAGUCAGGGGUGAAAUCCCGGGGCUCAACCUCGGAAUUGCCUUUGAUACUGGAUGUCUUGAGUAUGAGAGAGGUGUGUGGAACUCCGAGUGUAGAGGUGAAAUUCGUAGAUAUUCGGAAGAACACCAGUGGCGAAGGCGACACACUGGCUCAUUACUGACGCUGAGGCUCGAAAGCGUGGGGAGCAAACAGGAUUAGAUACCNCUGGUAGU
rnacentral:rRNA from 1 species